rnacentral:rRNA from 1 species
AUUGAACGCUGGCGGCAUGCCUUACACAUGUAAGUCGAACGGCAGCACGGGAGCAAUCCUGGUGGCGAGUGGCGAACGGGUGAGUAAUAUAUCGGAACGUGCCCAGUCGUGGGGAUAACGUAGCGAAAGCUACGCUAAUACCGCAUACGAUCUAUGGAUGAAAGCGGGGGAUCGCAAGACCUCGCGCGAUUGGAGCGGCCGAUAUCAGAUUAGGUAGUUGGUGAGGUAAAGGCUCACCAAGCCGACGAUCUGUAGCUGGUCUGAGAGGACGACCAGCCACACUGGGACUGAGACACGGCCCAGACUCCUACGGAGGCAGCAGUGGGGAAUUUUGGGACAAUGGGCGCAAGCCUGAUCCAGCAAUGCCGCGUGCAGGAUGAAGGCC